rnacentral:rRNA from 1 species
UACGGAGGGAGCAAGCGUUGUUCGGAAUUACUGGGCGUAAAGGGCGCGUAGGCGGUUUGGUAAGUCAGAUGUGAAAUUCACCGGCUCAACCGGUCGAACUGCAUCCGAUACUGCCAGACUUGAGAUCAGUAGAGGAGAGUGGAAUUCCCAGUGUAGCGGUGGAAUGCGUAGAUAUUGGGAAGAACACCGGUGGCGAAGGCGGCUCUCUGGACUGAUUCUGACGCUGAGGCGCGAAAGCUAGGGGAGCGAACAGG